AGAACAUUAUGCCUGGAAUGGUUUAUGUUUCAAAUAAUUUAUUGCCGUAAGAUGGGACUGCGGCCUAUCAGUUUGUUGGUGAGGUAAUGGCCCACCAAGACUAUUACAGGUACGGGCUCUGAGAGGAGUAGCCCGGAGAUGGGUACUGAGACACGGACCCAGGCCCUAUGGGGCGCAGCAGGCGAGAAAACUUUGCAAUGUGCGAAAGCACGACAAGGUUAAUCCGAGUGGUUUCUACUAAAGGAACCUUUUGUCAGUCCUAGAAACACUGGCGAAUAAGGGGUGGGCAAGUUCUGGUGUCAGCCGCCGCGGUAAAACCAGCACCUCAAGUGGUCAGGAUGAUUAUUGGGCCUAAAGCAUCCGUAGCCUGCUUUGUUAGUUUUCGGUUAAAUCCAUAUGCUCAACGUAUGGGCUGCCGGGAAUACUGCAAAGCUAGGGAGUGGGAGAGGUAGACGGUACUCGGUAGGAAGGGGUAAAAUCCUUUGAUCUAUUGAUGACCACCUGUGGCGAAGGCGGUCUACCAGAACACGUCCGACGGUGAGGGAUGAAAGCUGGGGGAGCAAACCGGAUUAGAUACCCGGGUAGUCCCAGCUGUAAACUAUGCAAACUCGGUGAUGCAUUGGCUUGAUGCCAAUGCAGUGCCGCAGGGAAGCCGUUAAGUUUGCCGCCUGGGAAGUACGUACGCAAGUAUGAAACUUAA
rnacentral:rRNA from 1 species